rnacentral:rRNA from 1 species
GAUGAACGCUGGCGGCGUGCCUAAUACAUGCAAGUCGAGCGAACAGACGAGGAGCUUGCUCCUCUGACGUUAGCGGCGGACGGGUGAGUAACACGUGGAUAACCUACCUAUAAGACUGGGAUAACUUCGGGAAACCGGAACUAAUACCGGAUAAUAUAUUGAACCGCAUGGUUCAAUAGUGAAAGACGGUUUUGCUGUCACUUAUAGAUGGAUCCGCGCCGCAUUAGCUAGUUGGUAAGGUAACGGCUUACCAAGGCAACGAUGCGUAGCCGACCUGAGAGGGUGAUCGGCCACACUGGAACUGAGACACGGUCCAGACUCCUACGGGAGGCAGCAGUAGGGAAUCUUCCGCAAUGGGCGAAAGCCUGACGGAGCAACGCCGCGUGAGUGAUGAAGGUCUUCGGAUCGUAAAACUCUGUUAUUAGGGAAGAACAAAUGUGUAAGAAACUAUGCACGUCUUGACGGUACCUAAUCAGAAAGCCACGGCUAACUACGUG